AGCAGCGUGGCUUAGUGGAAAGAGCAUGGGUUUGGGAGUCAGAGGUCGUGGGUUCUAAUCCCAGCUCUGCCA
rnacentral:tRNA from 1 species